CGAGCGUCAUUACAACCCUCAAGCUCUGCUUGGUAUUGGGUGCCACCGUCACAGGUGCGCCUUAAAAUCAGUGGCGGCGCCAUUCGGCUUCAAGCGUAGUAAUCAUAUCGUCGCUUUGGAGGACCGGGUGAGUGCUCGCCAGCAACCCCAAAUAUAUCAAGGUUGACCUCGGAUCAGGUAGGGAUACCCGCUGAACUUAA
rnacentral:misc_RNA from 1 species